GAGGGUAUAGCUCAAGUGGUAGAGCAUGUGCCUAGCAUGCAUGAGGUCCUGGGUUCAAUCCCCAGUACCUCCU
rnacentral:tRNA from 1 species